rnacentral:rRNA from 1 species
GAUGAACGCUGGCGGCGUGCCUAAUACAUGCAAGUCGAGCGAACAGACGAGGAGCUUGCUCCUCUGACGUUAGCGGCGGACGGGUGAGUAACACGUGGAUAACCUACCUAUAAGACUGGGAUAACUUCGGGAAACCGGAGCUAAUACCGGAUAAUAUAUUGAACCGCAUGGUUCAAUAGUGAAAGACGGUUUUGCUGUCACUUAUAGAUGGAUUCGCGCCGCAUUAGCUAGUUGGUAAGGUAACGGCUUACCAAGGCAACGAUGCGUAGCCGACCUGAGAGGGUGAUCGGCCACACUGGAACUGAGACACGGUCCAGACUCCUACGGGAGGCAGCAGUAGGGAAUCUUCCGCAAUGGGCGAAAGCUUGACGGAGCAACGCCGCGUGAGCGAUGAAGGUCUUCGGAUCGUAAAACUCUGUUAUUAGGGAAGAACAAAUGUGUAAGUAACUAUGCACGUCUUGACGGUACCUAAUCAGAAAGCCACGGCUAACUACGUG